GCCCGCCUAGCUCAAUCGGAUAGAGCGUCAGACUCUUACCAGGCGGGAGUUUCAUCUGAAGGCUGCGAGUUCGACCCUCGCGGUGGGCU